AGUGAACGCUGGCGGUAGGCCUAACACAUGCAAGUCGAACGGCAGCACAGUAAGAGCUUGCUCUUACGGGUGGCGAGUGGCGGACGGGUGAGGAAUACAUCGGAAUCUACUUUUUCGUGGGGGAUAACGUAGGGAAACUUACGCUAAUACCGCAUACGACCUACGGGUGAAAGCAGUGGAUCUUCGGACCUUGCGCGAUUGAAUGAGCCGAUGUCGGAUUAGCUAGUUGGCGGGGUAAAGGCCCACCAAGGCGACGCUCCGUAGCUGGUCUGAGAGGAUGAUCAGCCACACUGGAACUGAGACACGGUCCAGACUCCUACGGGAGGCAGCAGUGGGGAAUAUUGGACAAUGGGCGAAAGCCUGAUCCAGCCAUACCGCGUGGGUGAAGAAGGCCUUCGGGUUGUAAAGCCCUUUUGUUGGGAAAGAAAAGCAGCAGGUUAAUACCCCGCUGUUCUGACGGUACCAAAAGAAUAAGCACCGGCUAACUUCGU
rnacentral:rRNA from 1 species